GUAAAAACCUCAAAUCCUACAAGAACAGUAUUGUUCCAAUCGGAUUGAUUUGUACAAAUUAGGCACUGUAGUCACUCAGUUAAACCGUCUUCACGAAAAUUCCAGAACAACAAAGUUUCUGGAAAUAUAACGCCUACUUACCUCAAAUCAACUUUGCCAAUAAUCUGGCUUUACCUUUGUAACGGUGGACUCUUAUUAUGGGUUUUACGAAUUAGGCCUUGUGGCCUCUUAAAAUUCAGAAAUACUUCUGAAAUUAUUAAUUCCUUUGGAUAUUUAGUACGACUCCUUCGAUGGAUGAUCAGCCCGUCGUCAGGCCUCUAUUUAUACAGGACAUAACAACGAAGAAUAACGAGAAUACACACUAAUGCCUCCAGUAGGAUCCGAACCAAAGAUCCUAGUGUUAGUGCGGUCACAACAACAGCCUUAAGAUAGCGCGACAAGACAGUAGAUUGCUAUCUAAAAUUAGCAACAAUGUCAACAGAGUAAUGAUAACGCAUUUGAAAUAUUCGUACACAUGAGCUUAUUCUAAAAUGACGCAUCCUCCACGUGCCUCAGUGGGAUCGUGACCCAUCGGUUGAGAAGCUGGCUGCAUAACCUUCUCAUGUUUUCUUUACGGUUCUGUCAGUCACUGGAAUUCCUUCAGCGUCUCUUCUGACCCCAUUCGUCUUAUUUCUCCUGCCAGAGGUUUAUAUUUCUAAACUUUUAAUCGAACUUGUGCUCUCUGUCUUCAGACAUUGAAACAGAGACGUCAGCCAGCGAAGUUCUUCGUGCUGUAUUCUCUUCAGGAAUGAUGGCGAUGCAUUUCUGCGUUCCUCUUUAACUCUCUGGUACGGAACUACACCGGCCCUUUAAGAAGCCAGGGUAGACUACUGCCUCGACGGCCGAGGUUCGUUUGCCAAUUCCGAACAAACAGAUGAAACACGUCUAUCUGCAGACCCAAUUACAGCUGCGUUCAAGGAAAAGCGGAAAUGUUUUGCUUACAUCGUUGGCAAUUUUUAAAUUAGUGAUGCAAAGACGAAUCGGGUGAAAAGAAAACAAACGACACGACAAAGGAAGAGAGUAAAACAACUUUAAUUUCCGUUCUGGUUUAUUUAAACACGUCAGAACAGGGUUCGACAUUUUUUAGUUGCACAGGCCACAUUCAACAACGGAUUUUGCACAGAAUUUGAAGGAUUAAAAUUU